rnacentral:lncRNA from 1 species
ACAAAAACAAAGACAAAAUUAGAAACAAAAACAAGACAAAACAAAACAAUAGAGCAUUAGUAAAUCCCGCAGAAAUAACGUAAAUAAUUAUGUAAACCUAAGAAACAUAAAUACAGUCGCAUGCAAUAAUAACAAACCGUAACUACCAUACUAACAACCAUAAGGGGACAUAAGCUAAAAUACUAAUCAUCUAUGAGUGACCCUGCUAUCCUACACCCAACCCCGGGUGAGGCGUACGAAGAACUCUAUGAGCCCCUAGCCUACAAUUCUGAUUCUAGACCU